rnacentral:tRNA from 1 species
GCAGGCGUGGCGGAAUUGGCAUACGCGUUGGUCUCAGAAGCCAAUGGUUUUACCUUGUGAGUUCAAAUCUCAUUGCCUGCACCA